rnacentral:rRNA from 1 species
UACGUAGGGUGCGAGCGUUAAUCGGAAUUACUGGGCGUAAAGCGUGCGCAGGCGGUUUGUUAAGACAGAUGUGAAAUCCCCGGGCUUAACCUGGGAACUGCAUUUGUGACUGGCAAGCUAGAGUAUGGCAGAGGGGGGUAGAAUUCCAAGUGUAGCAGUGAAAUGCGUAGAUAUGCGGAGGAACACCGAUGGCGAAGGCAAUCCCCUGGGCCUGCACUGACGCUCAUGCACGAAAGCGUGGGGAGCAAACAGG